ACUUCAUGAUUUGGGCAUUGAGCUAGCUUACCAUUAAACCUCUCCCAAGCUUCAAACAAUGACUCUUCAUUUAUUUGUUGAAAAUUCACAAUCUUAUCCCGCUUUU
rfam:Capsicum annuum cultivar Zunla-1 chromosome 7, whole genome shotgun sequence